ACGAACGCUGGCGGCGUGCUAAUACAUGCAAGUCGAGCGGACAGAUGGGAGCUUGCUCCCUGAUGUUAGCGGCGGACGGGUGAGUAACACGUGGGUAACCUGCCUGUAAGACUGGGAUAACUCCGGGAAACCGGGGCUAAUACCGGAUGGUUGUUUGAACCGCAUGGUUCAGACAUAAAAGGUGGCUUCGGCUACCACUUACAGAUGGACCCGCGGCGCAUUAGCUAGUUGGUGAGGUAACGGCUCACCAAGGCGACGAUGCGUAGCCGACCUGAGAGGGUGAUCGGCCACACUGGGACUGAGACACGGCCCAGACUCCUACGGGAGGCAGCAGUAGGGAAUCUUCCGCAAUGGACGAAAGUCUGACGGAGCAACGCCGCGUGAGUGAUGAAGGUUUUCGGAUCGUAAAGCUCUGUUGUUAGGGAAGAACAAGUGCCGUUCAAAUAGGGCGGCACCUUGACGGUACCUAACCAGAAAAGCCACGGCUAACUACGUGCCAGCAGCCGCGGUAAUACGUAGGUGGCAAGCGUUGUCCGGAAUUAUUGGGCGUAAAGGGCUCGCAGGCGGUUUCUUAAGUCUGAUGUGAAAGCCCCCGGCUCAACCGGGGAGGGUCAUUGGAAACUGGGGAACUUGAGUGCAGAAGAGGAGAGUGGAAUUCCACGUGUAGCGGUGAAAUGCGUAGAGAUGUGGAGGAACACCAGUGGCGAAGGCGACUCUCUGGUCUGUAACUGACGCUGAGGAGCGAAAGCGUGGGGAGCGAACAGGAUUAGAUACCCUGGUAGUCCACGCCGUAAACGAUGAGUGCUAAGUGUUAG
rnacentral:rRNA from 1 species